rnacentral:rRNA from 1 species
UCCGGAGGGUGCAAACGUUAUCCGGAAUUACUGGGUUUAAAGGGUGCGUAGGCGGCUUCAUAAGUCAGGGGUGAAAGUCUAUCGCUUAACGAUAGAAUUGCCUUUGAUACUGUAAAGCUUGAAAGGGGUUGAGGUCAGCAGAAUGUGGCAUGUAGCGGUGAAAUGCAUAGAUAUGCCAUAGAACACCGAUUGCGAAGGCAGCUGGCUGGGCCUACUUUGACGCUGAGGCACGAAAGCGUGGGGAGAGAACAGG